rnacentral:misc_RNA from 1 species
GGGACCUUUUAUUUUAUCUUAAUUCCAUAUAUUUGCGAAACAUCUAUCUGGUGACCCCUUCACUUUUAAUGUCAAGAGGAUUGCUCGAGAGCUGAAAGUGUUGCAAGGAAAAAUUGAUCAAGCAAAUGAGAAAGGAUGGAGACAAGAGCUUACCGAGCAUCUGAAUAGAAGAUAUCUCCUACAGCAAGAUUCAUACCUGUCAUCUGUGCUGGAAAAUAUUCCUCGAGUGACUCCAGAGGAAAUAGAGCCUGUAUCUCUUGAUGGGAAUGACAAUCAGAUAGUAACCACUAUAAAGAAGAAUAUUACUGGAGUUACUCCUGAGAAAAUAGAUAGUGAACCUCUGGCUGAAAAUAAUGAUGGGAAGCUUUCUUCAGACAAUGGAGAUUUCAGUGGUGAAGGACCUCCGAAGAAAGGGGAUGAAAAGAAAACAUAUACACAGCAGAAAACAAAGAUGCAAAGAAGAGACACUUCACAGAAAAAAGAAUUUGUUGGAUGGGGAUCAAAAUCUCUAAUUGACUUUCUUCAGUUUAUAGGUCACGAUACCAGAGAAAAAUUAUCCCCAUAUGAUGUGACAUCGAUGGUAAUUAAAUAUGCAAAUGAAAAUGACCUUAUCCAUCCUAUUGAAAAGAGAAAAAUCCUUUGUGAUAUUCAGUUAGAAGCUCUUUUGGGGGGGAAAGUGGUAAACAGAGACAUAAUACUUAGCCUCCUUAAAAGCCAUUUUGUUGAAAAUGAGGAGCGAUUACAAAAGAAUGAGCUUGCUCAUGAUCUUGAAGACAAUGACACAGAAAUGUUUGUGGCUUCUAAAACUGAGAAAAAGGUUGAAC